GUGCCAGCAGCCGCGGUAAUACCGGCAGCUCGAGUGAUGGCCACUCUUAUUGGGCCUAAAGCGUCCGUAGCUGGCUGCGCAAGUCCGUCGGGAAAUCCACUCGCCCAACGAGUGGGCGUCCGACGGAAACUGCACAGCUUGGGACCGGAAGGCUCGAAGGGUACGUUCGGGGUAGGAGUGAAAUCCCGUAAUCCCGGACGGACUACCGAUGGCGAAAGCACUCUGAGAAGACGGCUUCGACAGUGAGGGACGAAAGUUCGGGUCUCAAACCGGAUUAGAUACCCGAGUAGUCC
rnacentral:rRNA from 1 species